rnacentral:rRNA from 1 species
CGACCGGCGCACGGGUGAGUAACGCGUAUCCAACCUGCCUUACACUCUUGGACAGCCUUCUGAAAGGAGAUUAAUACAAGAUGUUAUCAUGAGUAAGCAUUUUCGUCAUGAUUAAAGGUUUACCGGUGUAAGAUGGGGAUGCGUUCCAUUAGAUAGUAGGCGGGGUAACGGCCCACCUAGUCUUCGAUGGAUAGGGGUUCUGAGAGGAAGGUCCCCCACAUUGGAACUGAGACACGGUCCAA